GUGAGGUCGGUGGUGAUGUUGGUGAUGGUGAUGGUGGUGGUGGUGGUAAGGUCGGUGGUGAUGUUGGUGAUGGUGAUGGUGAUGGUAAUGGUGAUGGCGGUGGUGGGUGUCUGCUUUCAAGAACUCUCUGCAGUCUGCUGACUUUUAUUUCCUUUCAGGAUCUGACUCUGGCUGGUUGUCUGCUAAGGAGACCCUCAAUUCUGAAUGGCCCAUGGGGAUUUCUUCAGUUUGGCUGCUGACUACCUUAAGCAAAAGCCUGUACCUAAGACAGAGCUUAUACAAUGCAGAAUCAUGAAGCAUGGAGUGACACUGUCACCUUCCCCGGUUUAUUAGAAACAACUCAGGAAGAGCAGCAACUGCCAUCACUGUACCAAUGAAGGACUGUGGAGAUCAAGGAACCCUGAUCCCUACCAGGGGAAAGCAGGGCCACCGUGGAAUUGGUCAUAGACACUGUGUGAUCCAACACCCAUGAUUGUCAGUGAAGCCAAACCUCAGAAGACUCUCAGGGCAUGCCCUGGCCCAGACGACCCGACUCGCCUCCCAGAAGUGUUCCUGGGUGAUCCCGUCUCACGCCGACUGCUCCAUGCCUUCCUGUCAUCGGCCAGUCCCACCAGCAGAGCCCUCACGUGUGCGAAGCUUUCAAGUCUAUAGGCGGGUUUCGCGUGCCGCGUCUUAACACUUGUCUCCCUGGAUUAAAUGAUUAAACGAGAUCAAACACUCAAGGCUCUAAACGACCGGUGUUACCUCUUGAGCUGAUAAAUAGAAUUAGGGCUCCCGUUUAUUGACCGAAUGCGAGAUGCCAGACCUCUGCUCCUCACUCCUCCUGCAUUAGUUCACAGACUCUUGGCUGCCGCUGUGGGAGACAGCUGUCAGUUGUACCUGGGUUUUGGGAAGUGUGAAGAACUUAAAGCCAAGGUCGUGAAGUCAACACUCAAGCACAUUAGCUAACUAUUGGCAAUGUCAUUAGGGCAAGCAUCUCACUUGUCUGUCUCCCGGGCUGGCACAGAGCAGACCCUGAGUGGAUCCUGUUGAGGGCGAGCCUGCAUGAACUGAGCUGUCCCAGUUGCUGUCUCUUAUCCCCGCCCCGCCUCCCCUUCUCCUUACAGGCAUCAGACCCUGGAUCAUCAGAAGUCUAACUUAGCGCUCAGUCUGGUGUCUGACGUAUUAUAG
rnacentral:lncRNA from 1 species